rnacentral:lncRNA from 9 species
CUUUCUUUUCCAAGUGGCUUAUAUUUAAUCUGCUGAGAUAUGGAGGGGGGGAAAAAAAGCAAAUAACCAAGCUUGCUAAAUAAAGUGUGUUUAAUAAGAUUUCACGAGCCCCAGAAGGCGAGUCAGAGUUUGUGCCUUCAUUCAUUAAAUUCCAUCUACAAAUAUUUACUGGGCUUCCUUGUGAUAAUCCACAGGCUAUGACUUGUUCUAGGCAGUAAGGCACAUGGUUUGGGGGCUAUAACUUUUUUGAAAAAGUAUAUUGCCAUUUUCAGGAACCUUUGAAAAUGUCUGCGUCUGUGGCCAAGUUGUGGAUGGUCAAUCCAGUGACCUUGGGACCUCUGAAGACUUGGUUAAUGACUGGGCCUCUCUGCCUGUAUACGUGUGGAUUUCCACCUCUCCCAGAGCAUCAACACACAUAAUCUUUUGUUUUGAUCCUGCAUUUGAGCCAACAAACACUGCAGGGCCUUAUAGAGUCUCUACCGAAAGCAUCUCGUGUUCUGCUUGUGCUGUGAUGCCAAAAAGUGUGACAGUACAUAGCUGUGAUUCUGAGCAGCUGUCACUGGGAGAAGAGGUGAGUGAUAUGUGCACUGCUCUUCUUGCUUUGGAAAAUCAAAAAGUAAAUCUCAACAGUCACUAGUAAUAGCACUGAAAAAUAGAGAGUAGGAUUGGGAAUUUUUAAAAAAUGUUCUGCUUAAUUCUUUUUCAUAGUUUCCAAACAUAUUCGAGCCACAGGGCAAUGUGGUUGGUGUGGGGGGCAGUACAGUGUCCCUCCAUGGGUGCUGCAGAAGGGGUAGAGUUUAGAGGUUUUAGGGCCAGGCCUGGAAAGGGUACCAUUACUUUGGGAUAAAACUCAAGUAUGUUAUGCUAACCUCAUUGCAAAAAGAGAAUCAAAAAUGUCUUCUUGUAUGUCGUUGACUUAAAAAAUACACGCGCAACCUGGGAAUUCCCACUGUGGUGCAGUGGGUUAAGGAUCUGGCGUUGCCACGGCUGUGGUAUAGAUCACAACUGUGGCUCGGAUUCAACUCCUGGCCUGGGAAUUUCCAUGUGCUGUGAGUGUAGCCAAAAAAAAUAGGCACAAACUAAAAGCUGAGAGUUAAGUUUUACUUGGGGAAAAAUGAGGACUGUAGCCCAGGAGGCAGCAUUUAAGAUCACUCUGAAAUACCACCCCAAAGAGGCAGGGAAAAUAUAAGGAUCUAUGUGAUUUCAGUGAAGGGGAGGUACAUGCAGCCAAGCACACAUUUAAUGGAAGGCUGCUCUUAGUCUCGUGAAGGUUACUGCCAGUCACUGGGAGCAGACAACGCCAUGAAGGAUUUUAGCGUUUUUCCAGAUAUGAGGAGAUGCAAAAAUUGGGCUCACUAAAUCUUUUGAAAAUACCUAUCUGAAGACCUGUUCUGCCAGUUUUCCCAGAGCACAGAGUGCCUCACUCCUGAUCUCCUAGCUCUGCUCAGGGGCUGCUGUGGCUCAUGAUUUAAUUCAUGUAGAGGCGGAUGGGCAGCACCAAUCUCCAGUUCACAGUGUCUAAGAUAAACUUGAAAGUUCCCAGGAAUCUAUUUGCUUGUUUCUGCCACACACACCUUCUUUGCAUUUCUUUCUUCUUCCACCCUGCCCUCAUCAACCUCAUCUCAAAUCAGUAGCCAAUAAUAUA